CCUACGGGUGGCAGCAGUGAGGAAUAUUGGUCAAUGGACGAGAGUCUGAACCAGCCAAGUAGCGUGAAGGAUGACUGCCCUAUGGGUUGUAAACUUCUUUUAUAUGGGAAUAAAAUGUUCCACGUGUGGGAUUUUGUAUGUACCAUAUGAAUAAGGAUCGGCUAACUCCGUGCCAGCAGCCGCGGUAAUACGGAGGAUCCGAGCGUUAUCCGGAUUUAUUGGGUUUAAAGGGUGCGUAGGUGGAUUGUUAAGUCAGUUGUGAAAGUUUGCGGCUCAACCGUAAAAUUGCAGUUGAAACUGGCAGUCUUGAGUGCGGGAGAGGUGGGCGGAAUUCGUGGUGUAGCGGUGAAAUGCUUAGAUAUCACGAAGAACUCCGAUUGCGAAGGCAGUUCACUGGACUGCAACUGACACUGAGGCUCGAAAGUGUGGGUAUCAAACAGGAUUAGAUACCCGAGUAGUC
rnacentral:rRNA from 1 species